rnacentral:lncRNA from 1 species
AUUCAUUCACACCAACCCUACACUCCACUUUACACCCAUGGCCACCUCAUUCCUCCAAUCAAGCCCAAAAUUCAGGCUUUAUGUCACGCGCAGAGGCAAUCAAAUGCCCCAAAUUUCUCUGCCAAUUCAACUUCUCCCAAUUCAAUCAAGACUUUUCCUUCACCACUCAUUCGUGAAGGAAAACUGAAACAGAGAGCAACCAUUCCCCUCACCAAUCCAGCAACAACACACCUUAAAUUUCAGCAAACUCAAAUCAAAAACUCUUGAAGAUCACACGAAGCUUUCAGCUUGAGGACUUUCCCCACUAAACAUUCAAAGGUUUCAUCUUUUAAUUCUUGCUUAUUUUCAUUUCACAGUUUGAUUAAGAAACCCACUUCAUUUUGUAUAAAGAUCUUCACUGCAAGCAAGAAUCACACACAUACUUUCAUCUCAUCAUUUCGGUGCAUAUUCAUACACUGUCAUAUAUAUUUACAUUCAAAACAUGUAUAGAAAAGAAGAAAAGAGAAAAGUCGGAGUCUUGAACUUGUUUGUGCUUGAGUCGUUGUCGUGUGUCGGGUCUGAAAGGGAUCGAGGGAGGCGGCGGCGACUUCGCCGCUGCCAAGGGAGGAGACGGCGCAAAGGGGGGGGGGCGUCUGUGUGUGGGCGUGUGCUGUGAGGGUCUGAGCGGAGAACAGUGGAGCGGCAGCUUAUCGCUGCUACUCGCCGGAGUCGGGGAAGAGAGCGGCUUCUGCUGCUCGUCGGCGGGAGUCACAGAGAGAGUUCCGAGGGAGAUAAGAGGGAGGCGAUGGUGGCGGCAUGAAGCUGCUGCCGUCGGCCAAAGUUCAGCGGAGGGAGGCAGAGCUCGGCGGCCAUGGCUGCUGUUGCUCGGCCACGGACGGAGGAAGAGUGAGGGAGUCGCGGUCGGCGGCAGCCUUCCUGCUGCAGUCGCCGGACUGAUUCAGAGAGAGAGAGGGAGUCGACGGCGCUCGUCGUCGUUUCCCUGAGUCGCCGGGGUUGGUGGAGUCGGCGGCGGAGUCUUGGGAGAGAGGGAGUAAGAUCUGCAGUUGCGUGUGUGUGUGCGUGUGAUUUGGGGGAGGCGAGGGGUGACCAGCCGGCGGCCUUUCGCCGGAGACGGAGCCGCCGCGGCGGAACUUAUGGCUGAGAAAGAGAGUGGUGCUGCGUUUGUGUUGUGAGUGUGACCGAGAGAGAGAGUAGGGAAGAAAAGGGGGUGGGAUGUUGGGCUUUAGGUUUGGGCUUGAGGGUGGGUUUGAAUUGUGGGCCGAGUCAGUGGGCUUACGAUUUUGGGCCGAUUUUAAUUGAGAGUUGGGCCGAUUUUCCUUGCUUGAAAUUUCGAAUUGGGCUGAGUAUUUGGGCCGAGAUUUUAUUAUUUUUGUUUCAGCUGGGCUUUUAAUUAUUAAAUCUGUUGGGCCUUUAUUAAUCUAUUUAAUUGGGCUGUGCAGUUUCUUUAUUUAAAAUGGACUACACUAUUUAAUUAAUUAGACUUAUUAAGUUUGAUUAAUUAUUUUAAUUUGCAUAAUAAUAUUAUAUUAUUAUUAUGUGCAUAUUUAAGUAAAUUACUUAUUAUAUGCUAAGCAUGACAAGAUUUGCAUUAUAUUUUGCAAUAAGAAUAUUUAUGAUUUAAUUGAUUUUAUUUAUAAUUUCAAUUAUUAAAAGAAAAUCGAGUAAGGAUAUUGUUGGUGUCCUUAGCUCAAGAAUUUAGUUUUCAAGUAUUUAUUCAUUAAAUUUGAAAACCCGGCGUGAUGAAUCAAGUAUGUUUAGUACAUCCAAAAAUACAUUAAGAUUAGUUUCAUGAGACCUAUUAAGAAUAGAAUUUCUUGUAGGCUUUGUGACCAGGGGAAUUAGCGCUGCUUUCCCAAGACAGGUUUAUAUGUGAUUAUGAUCUUCAGGCUUUGCCUAACCAGGUGGGCUUACUUUCCAAAUGUACAAAGUAUGAUUGAGUUAUUAAGCUCUAAAUGUUUCAAUGAAAUGCAAAUUGUUUAUUCAAUGUAAUGAAAACUGUUUAUCCAAUAAAAUAUUUUGUGCACUCUGCUCUGUUUAAGGCUCGCAUAAGUUAAUCGAUCGAGGUUCUCUCUUGACCUAACACGUUAUUUGAGAAUUGUGUACACCUAUUAGCUGACUCGGUGGGUUGAUCUCCAUUCGGGCACUAAUCAUGUAUGAGGCGUUAUAAGGGUGCUCGACGGGAUGUGUUCCGGAGCAUUGGGUCCCAAAUGGGAACUUGACUGGGUUACGCCCUCAGUUCAAGUAAGAAGGAGAAAUGGAUCCGUCGGUGGCUAAAAGGUCCGGGAUCACAGCGAGUAACAGAAAGGGAGUGUGACAUGUGCGCACAAAUGAAAGAAAAUGUUUUAACAUGCUUAGAAGUUAUUUCAUUUUAAAACCUUCUAAGUCAUGUCAAGUAUAAUUGGAUAAACUGCUCUUUACGAAAAUAUGAAAUGUUUAUGAAAAUGCAUGCCCACUAAGUACAUUAGUACUUAGCCCAAAAAUACUUUCAAAUGUUUUCAGGUUGGCUGGCUGGCGCUGACGGGACGGAGCUGAGGCUAGAGUUAAAAUUCAUAUGUUAGACUUCCGCUGUAGCAAUUACUCUUAUACAUCUUUUGUUUUCUCAACUUAAGAUGACUUCAUGUCGAGCUUAAAUUUGAAAUUCUAGUUUUAUGCUAAUGAAUGUUGGUUGUCAGAAGCAUGAAACAAAACUUGUGAUCCAAAGGGGCAUAGCCCGACUUUCUAUCCUAUUUUGGGUUUUUACAAGGUUGUUCCUUGUUUAUUUCUAUGAAUUAGUUGCACCUCGAUUAUAUUUAUUCAUUCAAGAAUUGGGGUGUGACAAUGGAAGUUCGAGAUAUAACUCCCGAUGUUAUAAGAAAGAUUCUAACGAAAGUAUAUCCAUGUUUUACAUUGACAUAAACUUAAGUUCGAAUGUAUGAUUGUUAUGAAAGAUAUCAUUACAGUUAUAUUUAGUUUUGAACGUUUAUUAUUGGCAUUACAUAAUAAGGUAAUAAUGAUUGGUGUUAUUAUUUGUUACAUGUCUGUAGAUGUCACCAUGGAAGUUCGUGAUAUAACUCCUGAUGCUUGAGAUGGACGUAUCGAAGGUAACACGAAAUUGUUGCCUUAUUUUUCAGUAAAUUCAUAUUAUUUUAGAAUGCCCGUGUGUUAUAAUAAUUGUCAUACAAUUUUUUUUAUUUGAAAUAUUUAUUUAAGUAUUUUUUCUAGCAUAAUCGUCUGAAUUUUUUUUUUUACUAUGCAUAGGCAUUUCUUGAAAUAUCUACAGCAUAAUUUCUUAACUCAACAUUAUAUGAUAGGUUAUUAUGAGUUUUGUUAUUUUUUGGAGAACUACGAAUUUGAUUCUAUAUUUUGCAGAAAUUUUAUAUUAUGUUCUAAGAUAGGUGUUAUAAAAAAAGUAAUCUAUUAUUAGUCAUUGUUGAGAUAUUUAUUGCCUAAUUUCCAGAAUUGGAAUGACAAACGGUUAUAAGGAUAAGGUAUACUUUUUGUCAUGUUCGUAGAUGUUAACAUGGAAGUUCGAGAUAUAACUCCCGAUGUUCAAGAAAAUAAUAACUAAAGUAUAUGUAUGUUUUACAUUGGCAUAAACUUAGGUUCGAAUGUAUGAUUGUUAUGAAAGAUAUCAUUACAGUUAUAUUUAGUUUUUGAAGUUUAUUAUUGGCAUUACAUAAUAAGUUAAUAAUGAUUGGUGUUAUUAUUUGUUACAUGUCUGUAGAUGUCACCAUGGAAGUUCGUGAUAUAACUCCUGAUGCUCGAGAUGGACGUAUCGA